GGCAGAUGUGACAUUCCAGGUGGUGACAACGCACUGGAGACCUCUUUGGAGCACAGAUCCUGUUUGAUUUUCCAUCCUUGCUCCAGGAAAAAGCAUCUCCAAAAGAGCAGGAAUGAUUUGGACAACCAAGAAUCCACCUGGGAAGUGCCACCAACUCAUCCCUAUGGAAGCCAUCAAUCCCAAACCCUCUUGGAUCCAACCUUCUGACACCUCUGGCCCAUUCCCACCUGGGAACUGCUGACCCAGGAGACUGGAUGGGACUUAAAUCCCAUUUUCUAAACCUUGGGUUUGGAUUGUUUCAGCCCGAUCCUCCCCAUUGGGAUCCCUAAUUGAAUUAUUUGCUCCGUGUGGAGCAGUAAUUAGGGAAGAGCUCCCAUUCCCUGGAUUUUGGCUGAGCCAGAGCAAACAGGAUUAGAAUUCUUCCUCCCAGCUCGGCAGUGCAAAUUAAAUGUUUAUUCUUUCAUGGAG